UCUCAAAAACUGAUUCUGGAUUCUCUGUCAGGAAAGUUUAAGACACGGUGAUGGACCGCAGCCCCAUAGAAGUAUUGGAAAUGACACUGCGGAAGGUCAAUGCAAGCCACUGAGAGAGAUUGCAUGACUCCAAGAACUCCGGCAUCUCAGGACUCCGCAACGAUGACGGUUGCUCUGCUGUGCCAACGUUUGCCAAGGACAGAAGAGGAUUAGAGAUGAAAAUCUAAAGUCAUGAAGAUUUGGAGAGUUGGAUGAAUUACUGAGGUC
rnacentral:lncRNA from 1 species